rnacentral:misc_RNA from 1 species
UCCGGUUUGACACCGGCAGUCUCCCUAGAGUUCCCGGCUUUACCCGCUGGUAACUAGGGACAAGGGUUGCGCUCGUUGCGGGACUUAACCCAACAUUUCACAACACGAGCUGACGACAGCCAUGCAGCACCUGUCUCACAGUUCCCGAAGGCACCCCGACAUCUCUGCCAGGUUCUGUGGAUGCCAAGACCAGGUAAGGUUCUUCGCGUUGCAUCGAAUUAAACCACAUGCUCCACCGCUUGUGCGGGCCCCCGUCAAUUCAUUUGAGUUUUAACCUUGCGGCCGUACUCCCCUGGCGGUCGACUUAACGCGUUAGCUCCGGAAGCCACGCCUCAAGGGCACAACCUCCAAGUCGACAUCGUUUACAGCGUGGACUAC